rnacentral:lncRNA from 1 species
UUGGAUUGUGGUGCCUCAGCAACUUGUCGUGGAGGUGGGCGUGAACAUCGUCUACAUGGUCACGGGCGGAAAAUCUCUAAAGAAGUUCCAUGAUGUUGUCUGCCCUGACUGCAAAAACAUCAAAGUGACCUAUUUCAUCAUGAUCUUCGCCUCACUGCACUUUGUUCUCUCCCAACUGCCCAACUUCAACUCAAUUUCGGGUGUCUCCUUGGCAGCUGCUGUCAUGUCCCUCAGGCAUAUACUCUUCUCUAUGAUGCCAAAGCACCUGAUUAUUCUUUCUGACUCUAUAUUGCUACAUGUUGGGUAACAUUAUUUUAGAAAUCAUUAGUGACAGUAUCUUUA